AAAAACCCUUCCCCACCUUUAACAUCUACGGAAUUUGCCAGAAAAGGGGUGGUCCUUGAAAGAAACCCGUAACCCAGGUGCGGCAUGGCGUUCUUCACCUCGGGUGGGGAGAUGUGGGGUUAAGUCCCGCAAGGACCCCACCCCUUGCCAUUAGUUCCUUCAUUCAGUUGGGCACUCUAAUGAGACUGCCGGUGACAAACCGGAGGAAGGUGGGGAUGACGUCAAGUCCUCAUGGCCCUUAUGGGUAGGGCUACACACGUCAUACAAUGGCCGGUACAAAGGGUUGCCAACCCGCGAGGGGGAGCCAAUCCCACAAAGCCGGUCGUAGUCCGGAUCGCAGUCUGCAACUCGACUCCGUGAAGUCGGAAUCGGAAGGA
rnacentral:rRNA from 1 species